CGUAUACGUGCUAAAUAUUUGCCAAUUUGUUUUUGGCUUUUCCAACGAGGGAGGGGGGGAGCUGGCCCGUACGUUUCCUUAUAUAAAUGACAUAUAUAUUACUGCUUUUAUGGUAAAUUUAAAUUAGCAUUAUUGGAUCACAAAAAUGUUGUUCUAUGUGAAUGUAAACAAAAUACAAUUUACACUUUUCUAACGCUCAGAAGGCAAUAC